UUUAAACAAUGAUAAUAGUGUUUGUUGUUGGUGUUUGUUGGACUCACUUCGCUACGAAUGACGUGUUGGAAAUGACAAAAGGGCAAUGAUUAUUAGCAACAGCUGAACAUGUCCCAGUCCUCCUCAUCCCAGGUGUUGGCAGACUGGACAUGUCCUAGUCCUCCUCAUCCCAGGUGUUGGCAGACUGAACAUGUCCUAGUCCUCCUCAUCCCAGGUGUUGAGAGACUGAACAUGUCCCAGUCCUCCUCAUCCCAGGUGUUGAGAGACUGGACAUGUCCCAGUCCUCCUCAUCCCAGGUGUUGGCAGACUGAACAUGUCCUAGUCCUCCUCAUCCCAGGUGUUGAGAGACUGGACAUGUCCUAGUCCUCCUCAUCCCAGGUGUUGGCAGUCUGAACAUGUCCUAGUCCUCCUCAUCCCAGGUGUUGAGAGACUGAACAUGUCCUAGUCCUCCUCAUCCCAGGUGUUGGUAGACUGAACAUGUCCUAGUCCUCCUCAUCCCAGGUGUUGGCAGACUGAACAUGUCAUAGUCCUCCUCAUCCCAGGUGUUGGUAGACUGAACAUGUCCUAGUCCUCCUCAUCCCAGGUGUUGGCAGACUGAACAUGUCCUAGUCCUCCUCAUCCCAGGUGUUGGCAGACUGGACAUGUCCUAGUCCUCCUCAUCCCAGGUGUUGGCAGACUGAACAUGUCCUAGUCCUCCUCAUCCCAGGUGUUGGCAGACUG